ACGAACGCUGGCGGCGUGGAUAAGACAUGCAAGUCGAACGAGAGAAUUGCUAGCUUGCUAAUAAUUCUCUAGUGGCGCACGGGUGAGUAACACGUGAGUAACCUGCCCCCGAGAGCGGGAUAGCCCUGGGAAACUGGGAUUAAUACCGCAUAGUAUCGAAAGAUUAAAGCAGCAAUGCGCUUGGGGAUGGGCUCGCGGCCUAUUAGUUAGUUGGUGAGGUAACGGCUCACCAAGGCGAUGACGGGUAGCCGGUCUGAGAGGAUGUCCGGCCACACUGGAACUGAGACACGGUCCAGACACCUACGGGUGGCAGCAGUCGAGAAUCAUUCACAAUGGGGGAAACCCUGAUGGUGCGACGCCGCGUGGGGGAAUGAAGGUCUUCGGAUUGUAAACCCCUGUCAUGUGGGAGCAAAUUAAAAAGAUAGUACCACAAGAGGAAGAGACGGCUAACUCUGUGCCAGCAGCCGCGGUAAUACAGAGGUCUCAAGCGUUGUUCGGAAUCACUGGGCGUAAAGCGUGCGUAGGCUGUUUCGUAAGUCGUGUGUGAAAGGCGCGGGCUCAACCCGCGGACGGCACAUGAUACUGCGAGACUAGAGUAAUGGAGGGGGAACCGGAAUUCUCGGUGUAGCAGUGAAAUGCGUAGAUAUCGAGAGGAACACUCGUGGCGAAGGCGGGUUCCUGGACAUUAACUGACGCUGAGGCACGAAGGCCAGGGGAGCGAAAGGGAUUAGAUACCCCUGUAGUCCUGGCAGUAAACGGUGCACGCUUGGUGUGCGGGGAAUCGACCCCCUGCGUGCCGGAGCUAACGCGUUAAGCGUGCCGCCUGGGGAGUACUGUCGCAAGAUUAAAACUCAAAGAAAUUGACGGGGACCCGCACAAGCGGUGGAGUAUGUGGCUUAAUUCGAUGCAACGCGAAGAACCUUACCUGGGCUUGACAUGUAAUGAACAACAUGUGAAAGCAUGCGACUCUUCGGAGGCGUUACACAGGUGCUGCAUGGCCGUCGUCAGCUCGUGUCGUGAGAUGUUUGGUUAAGUCCAGCAACGAGCGCAACCCCUGUUGCCAGUUACCAGCACGUGAAGGUGGGGACUCUGGCGAGACUGCCCAGAUCAACUGGGAGGAAGGUGGGGACGACGUCAGGUCAGUAUGGCCCUUAUGCCCAGGGCUGCACACGUACUACAAUGCCCAGUACAGAGGGGGCCGAAGCCGCGAGGCGGAGGAAAUCCUAAAAACUGGGCCCAGUUCGGACUGUAGGCUGCAACCCGCCUACACGAAGCCGGAAUCGCUAGUAAUGGCGCAUCAGCUACGGCGCCGUGAAUACGUUCCCGGGUCUUGUACACACCGCCCGUCACAUCAUGGAAGCCGGUCGCACCCGAAGUAUCUGAAGCCAACCGCAAGGAGGCAGGGUCCUAAGGUGAGACUGGUAACUGGGAUG
rnacentral:rRNA from 1 species